rnacentral:rRNA from 1 species
AGUGAACGCUGGCGGCAGGCCUAACACAUGCAAGUCGAACGGCAGCACAGUAAGAGCUUGCUCUUACGGGUGGCGAGUGGCGUACGGGUGAGGAAUACAUCGGAAUCUACUUUUUCGUGGGGGAUAACGUAGGGAAACUUACGCUCAUACCGCAUACGACCUACCAGUGAAAGCAUGGGAUCUUCGGACCUUGCGCGAUUGAAUGAGCCGAUGUCGGAUUAGCUAGUUGGCGGGGUAAAGGCCCACCAAGGCGACGAUCCGUAGCCGGUCUGAGAGGAUGAUCAGCCACACUGGAACUGAGACACGGUCCAGACUCCUACGGGAGGCAGCAGUGGGGAAUAUUGGACAAUGGGCGCAAGCCUGAUCCAGCCAUACCGCGUGGGUGAAGAAGGCCUUCGGGUUGUAAAGCCCUUUUGUUGGGAAAGAAAAGCAGCAGGUUAAUACCCCGCUGUUCUGACGGUACCCAAAGAAUAAGCACCGGCUAACUUCGUG